rnacentral:rRNA from 1 species
UACGAGUGCCCCAAGCGUUAUCCGGAAUCAUUGGGCGUAAAGGGUGUGUAGGUUGUUGUAUUAGUCUUCUGUCAAAAUACGGGGCUCAACCCCGGACCUGCAGAGGAAACGGUACGACUCGAGGAUGCGAGAGGUGAAUGGAACUCAUGGAGUAGGGGUGAAAUCCGUUGAUAUCAUGGGGAACACCAAAGGCGAAGGCAAUUCACUGGCGCAUUCCUGACACUGAGACACGAAAGCGUGGGUAGCGAACGGG